UAUAAAUAAGACCUUGGCAAGAGCAUUCUUAAUGUUCAGAGAUGAACAGAGAAUUUCAUAGUGAUAGCAUAUACAACACCAUUUGGAAUAUAACUUCACAGUGAUAACAUAAACAGCAGCAUUUUAAAUAGAACUUCACAGUGAGAAGAGGAUUUCCAGUGAUAACAUGAAUAGCAGUAUUUCAAACAGAACUUGACCAAAUCCAGUACAUCUGAAACGUGAGCAAAACAUAAAGGGUUUGUUUGGUAUCUUGGUCUCUUAACCCCGAACAAAAGGAGCAGUUCAUUCAUGAACUCAACUAAGAUGCAUGAGAAGUUCAUUCAUGAACUGAAACUAGGUGAGAUGGAAAAAUGGCUAUAACAGUGAGAGGAAAUCAUGAAGGUCAUCAGGCCAUCCUUCAUCAUAGAGACCAUUUGGUGCAUUUUGGCUAACAAGAACCUCCUCUUCUGCUUGCAUGAAGUGUGGGGCUUGGUGUGCACUUGCUCCAUCAUUUCCAAAGAGAAGGUUGUAGGAGCCAGGGGCAGUAGCUCUAGCUCCUCUUGGAGCACUUGUGCUAUCUCCUGUUGCAUCAGGUGUUCUCCCUCCCCUUCCAGCAUUUGCCCCUCCUCUUGCACCCCUUGAAGCAGUUGUUCUCCCUCCCCUUGCAGCAGGUGUUCUCCCUCCCUUUGUAACAUUUGCCCCUCCUCUUGCAGCAGGUGUUCACCCUCCCCUUGCACCAUUUGCCCCUCCUCUUGCAGCAGGUGUUCUCCCUCCCCUUGCAGCAAUUGACCCUCCUCUUGCCUGCUUCUUCCUGGGUCUUGGUGCAGCUCCUUGUUCAGAUUCAGCUGCAACACCUUCUGCUCUUCUCACCCUUCCACUUGUCAUUGCUGUAGUCACUCUACUUACUGGGAUUGAGUCCCUAGCAUUAGCAAUAAAGCUUGAUUCAGGUAGUGGACCAUAAUCUCUAAUUGUUGGUGACCUAAACCUCUCCUGCAUUGUAAAGC
rnacentral:lncRNA from 1 species